rnacentral:rRNA from 1 species
UGUUGCCUCGGCGGGAUUCUCUUGCCCCGGGCGCGUCGCAGCCCCGGAUCCCAUGGCGCCCGCCGGAGGACCAACUCCAAACUCUUUUUUUCUCUCCGUCGCGGCUCCCGUCGCGGCUCUGUUUUAUUUUUGCUCUGAGCCUUUCUCGGCGACCCUAGCGGGCGUCUCGAAAAUGAAUCAAAACUUUCAACAACGGAUCUCUUGGUUCUGGCAUCGAUCAAGAACGCAGCGAAAUGCGAUAAGUAAUGUGAAUUGCAGAAUUCAGUGAAUCAUCGAAUCUUUGAACGCACAUUGCGCCCGCCAGUAUUCUGGCGGGCAUGCCUGUCCGAGCGUCAUUUCAACCCUCGAACCCCUCCGGGGGGUCGGCGUUGGGGAUCGGCCCCUCACCGGGCCGCCCCCGAAAUACAGUGGCGGUCUCGCCGCAGCCUCUCCUGCGCAGUAAUUUGCACACUCGCACCGGGAGCGCGGCGCGGCCACAGCCGUAAAACACCCCAAAC